GCAACACCUUCCGGUGGGUGGGGAUGUGUGUGGACAACUUGGUGCGCCAUGGAGGCUGAGGAAAUCUACGUGAACCGGGAGGUCAAGAUGCAGGCGGCAGCCUUCAAAGAGAAACGGGGGGCCCCAGCCAAUAAAGGUGCAGGUGACCCCAACUAUGAAAAUAUUGUCUUGAACUUCAGAAACCGGGACCAGCCAAAGAGUGCCCAUUCAUUGCCUAAGAAUCAGGUCCCCUCCCGGUCCAGGCCACUCUCGAAGUCUUCCCAGGUCCCCCACUGGUUACACACAGCCCUCCUGAGCCUGUACAUUCUCCUCACUCUGGUCUGCAUCAUUCUCUUGGCCUUGAUCCUGGUGAAGAAUUUGGAGACAAGCCAGGAGCUGCUGCACUUGAAAAGAGAGCUCUCCAACGUGUCCCUCUUGGUGCAACAGUGCCAGAAGGAACAGAAGCUGAGCAGGGAAGACAUCCUGAAGAACAUCACAGCGGUCAAGAAGAACAUCAGCAUGGUCCAGGACAAAGUCCAGCACGUGAAUGACAAUCUGAAGGACCUGUCAAAAGAUGUAAGUAACAUCAUGACGAACGUAAAGAAAAUCUUUGGGGAGCUGGAGAAGCAGGCAAAUAAGCCCACACCUUGAUCAAUGACAAGACAUCAAAGCCCUGGCUGCCACAUGGAGGAUGGGGCGGUGCCUUCCCUUGAAGAUGGAAAAUGGGGGCCCCAGCCCGGUCUGAACCUGUUCUUCAUUCCCACAUAUAAAAAAAUCACGUGUCAUGGUGAAUGCGUGUUGUCGAGUUGUGGAGUUGCGUGUGUGCCUGUGUGCGUGUGUAGGGGGGUUAGCAUUUCACGGAGGGCGAGCAUUUUGGUGCGUCCCACAGGAAGGGGUCAUGGGUACAUAUUAAAUGCAGGAGUCACAGCGAGUGUGGGGGUGCGCCUGUGUCACCUGACAUGUGACACACGUGUGUAUUGUGAUGUGUUGUGAGCGUAAUGCACAUCACGGUGGGUGGCUGUGUCAUCGGGGACCACAAAGAUGAGUCACUGUGAGUGUGGGUGCUGGCAACGUGUGUUGCCCUGUCGGUGUAAAUACACGAGUGUCCUGUAGUAUGUUGUGUGUACAAAUGUGUCAUGGCGGAGGUGUGUGUGGAGCACACUGUAAGAAUGUAUCACUGUAACUGUGGGUGUCAUGGUGUGUCAUUACCCGUUCCCGCACGAAUGAGUAUGUGUCAACGUGAGUGAGCCUGAUUCUAUCACUGAGGGUGUUUAGAGCAUGUACACGUGUGUGUCUAUGUUUCUGCACUCACAUUUUGUGAUUUAUGAAGAUAAAGGCCAAGGGAAAACAA